rnacentral:lncRNA from 1 species
UCCUGCCCUCGGAGGAGAAAUUAGGAGGAGCUGGGUGCGCUCCUUUGGUAUCCCAAAUAUUUGACACCUCAUUGGCCUAAAUGCCAUUCGAUACAUUGGUGUAGGCAUUUUCCUCAUUUUAAAGAGUAAAUCUUUCUGCCGCCAAGAACUACCUGCCGGGAAGAAGGCGGUCUUCGAGGUCUUUCACAAUCAACAUCAACCCAGACCUGGAAGUAUUUCUGUUUUCAUAUUUCUGCGAGAUAAUAACAUGCCCGGUGUAAAGGAGGGACGGCUGUUCUCGCUGACGGGCCCUGCA